CAUUUUAUGUUAUUCUAGCUAUUUAUUUACUUGUUUUUAUAUCAUAGCAUGAAGCAAUUUAGUGAAGACACUUAGAGGUGUGGUUAUCUAUAUUACUUCCUAUUUGAAGAUGUCUGGUUUGUUCUGACCUCUACUGACAUAUGUAAGGGUUUGUGUGGUGCUAUAUGGGGUUAAAUCGUCAGUCUAAAUCUGGUGUUUGAAAACUAGGAUUAAAGUAUUGUUAUACCCUUCACGCUGACCUAAAUCCAUACUUUGCACCUUUGGCUUUGCUUGCUAAACCGAAGCUUUGUAUUAAAAUGUCUUUCCUUUGUGUUCUGUUUUUAAAGAUUUUCGAGGGAGAUUGCAACUUCCUUGCUCCUGUAAUGGAAUCAACAGAUUUUGAAUUGUACGCGGUGGCAAUUAGUACAGGUAAUGAUCUGGGGUAUGGUACAUAAAAAAUCUAUGAAACACAAAUAGCAUACAAAACUAGGAGAACUUGUGAAUUAACUGCCUCUUCUUGCUGAAACCAGGCGUAAAACAUGGAGACAACAAGUUUUGUUUGUCUAUCCACUUCAAAAGUGUAUCAGAUAGAGACACUACUACAAUUUCCGUAGUUUCUCGACGCUAUCGCCUCGACGCUGUACAAAUUCGAUGAGGCUUACUUUAAUCUCGCGAAGUUUCACGACACUGUUUUUAGUCGAACUAUUGUCUCGAUGACAAAUAGCAUCGAGAAUUAACCACGUGUGCAGCAUGUGUCCUUAAUUCUAAAAUUCUAUCGCUAACCCCAGUCUUCCAGUUUUAAUUUUGUGAAACAAGAAACCGCCGACACCAAAACCCUAAAAAAGAAAAAGAAAAACGAACACCUCUCGUUGAUCAGUUGCUCGAUCUAAGUCUGGUACUUUCAAAAUUCUCAUGGUACCUUCAACCCUCCAUUGAAGUCGAAAUUUUUAUGGUAUAUUCAAACCCUCCAUUGAAAUCGAAAUUCUCACAGUACCCUCUGAAUUGCGGAAGAUUACAAGCUUUCUCACUUUCACCAGAACAAUGCAGAGUUAGGGGUUGAUGGGUUUGAAGGCAGGGGUUGCAGGGCUGAUGGGUCAGAUAUGGGCUGCAGGAUCAAGUUCAAAUUUAGAUUGUAACGUCAGGUUCAGGUUUGGGCUGCAGGGUCAGGUUCAAGCUACCUGAAGACACGAAAACACUACCUACAUUGGUCUGGGAAUGUGGAUUAACUUUAAGUGGCAGAGGCUGUGAACACUCUUAAUAUUUCCCAUUAGUGCUUGUGCCUGAACUAUCUAGCUAGUGUUCCUUCUUGUUCGUAGUUCUUUACCUUUGGUUAUUCUGUAGUCUACCUGUAUUUUUUCUUAGGAUAAUAAUUUUCUUGCUCAUAUAAAUUAGGUUUUAUUUGUUUUAAGUAACUAAUAAUUACUACUAGGAGUUGAUUAGUAUAAAGAAAUCAAAACUGAAAAUCUGCAUUGUAUCUUUAUCUGGUGCAUUCACUCUAUAAUCCUAGAAUAGUCUUUGAUUUGAGAUGUUAAUUAUACCGGUUAUUUACUAAUUGAAUAUCGCCAUUGGGCACCAAAUUGAAGGAAAAAACGAACAGAAGAAUCUAGUGAAGAGAAAACUGCUUGUGUCAGAGAGAAGACUUGUAGGCUUGUGUUCGGAAAAUACCAAGCUUUCUUAAAUAGGAUCACCCAUCAACAUCAGAAGUUCACUCAAUUUACUAUCAAAAGGCAAAGCUACAGAAAUGGUAUUUCUGCAACAAUUUUAACUAGAACAACAGUGUACAUUGACUGCAAGCACAGAUUGAAUUUGUGAUUCGGCACAAACAUUCUAUUCCAACCUCCGGGGGAUUUUCUGCCGGUCCGUGAUGCGUUUGGAGAUUAUGGUGGUUGAAGAAAGGAAUCAAGGGAUGAUGUAUAGUUCCUUCAACAAGGGAUGAUGCCUUUCUUUUGAAGAUGACAUUUUAGAAUAAUAGGUCAAUUGGAAUUGUAAUAUAUAUUGAAGACGUUAUGCGUUUGUGUUUUGGUAUACUAGCUAAAUAGUUUGGAUCAUAUGUAAACUUUGAUGAUAUGUUUAUGACGUAUUAUUAUAUAAAUUAAUAUAAGUAUAUCUUU